ACGGUUGCAACAUGUUUCAAUUGUCUCAGGCUUUCAGCGUUCGCUCGUCAAUUACAGAACAAAGAAGGAUAUGAUUUGCGUCGUAAGAGGGUUUUGUAUGUUUCGAGCGGCGGCAGCAGUUUUCCGUCCCGUCAGGUAAGUGUACAAGUAUCAGUUCGUGGCCGGUGUUGAUUGUGAACCAAAUUUGUUGUUGCUAUGACCAUUCUACUCGGUUUUACUCACUUGUGUUUGAACAUUACUAAUUUGCGAUUGAACGCCCUAUUCAGACACAUUUCUCUCCAGCGCUUCAGAGACAUCGCUUUCGCCGAAAUUCAGUGAAUUUUGAAGUCCACCGUUAUCGUGGGUCACCAGAAGAACUCAGACCGCAACCCGUCAUUGACUGUCUAUUGUGCCACGCGACAUUGUGUGGCAUAAAGCAUGUGUACGUGUGGAAUACUUCGCUACUGUGUGCGCGGGAUGUUUUGUAUGAUUGUGUCGACACUGGAUACCACUUUUAAGGUAUGUAUUUUCGGAAUAAAAUAGAUACAUAUAUA